rnacentral:lncRNA from 10 species
UAUCUUUAAAAGAUACAUAUCAGAGAAUGGGAGGGAGAAGUAGGUCAGGUAUGGAUGAAAUUGAAGCUGGGUUACAGUUAUAACAUGUAUAGAAAUUCAUUAUAAAGAUAUUUUUUUUUAACAGAAUUUUUUGCUCUUCUCACGCAGGCUGGAGUGCAGUGGCACAAUCUUGGCUCACUGCAACCUCCGCCUCCUGGGUUCAAGUGAUUCUCCUGCC